GGAACUUGUCUUUGUUUAGCAUAACUGGGAACUGGGUCUGAAAAUCUAUAGAAUUGACUAAUAAACAUUGUAAGGCAAGUGCAAAACCCACAGCCGCCUGGGGCAAAAGAUUACAACGGAAGCAACAAUAGAGUCCCAAAAGCCUAGGAGGGAAAACUGGGGAGAGAGUUUCACUGGGAAAUUAGGGCAUCCAAAAGUUUCUGAGUCUACUUGGAAUUUAGAAAAUCACAUGCAUGCCCAGGGUAAGACUCAUGCUAAGAAAAGACCUGUGAAUAUGCAACAUUUUCCCCUUUGGCUAAACUCCAUGCAAGUGCAAACAGGAUGUACAGGCUAAGGCAGAGUUUUAAAUGGCCCGGCUGAGCAUUGAAGGAUUUCCUCAUCACAAAGCCAGACUGCAAAGAUUGGGGAAGGUUUUUGAUUUACGCUUUCUUAUCUUCUCUCUGUCUGUGUCUCUCUCCGUCUACCCCUGACAUUCAAGGAAAUAACUGCCAAAACUCUAGCUAGACAAAAAUUAAAGGAAAAGCUACGUCAGCGACCAAAUAUUACAAAAAUUACAGGUCUACAGUUUAACAACAAAAAGAAGACCAAAUUAAGUGGGCAAAGGGUAUAGACAUUUCCCCAAAGAAUUAUACAAAGAACCAAGAAGCAGAAAGCCCUUGAAAUGAUGCUCAAUAUCAUUUGUCAUUAAGGAAAUGCAAAUCAAAACCACAAUUGAGAUACCACUUCUCACCAACUAGGAUGGCUUUUUUAAAAAUUUAACUUAUAUUUUAAGUUCAGCGGUACAAUUGCAGGUUUGUUAUAUAGGUAAACUUGUGUCGUGGUAACUUGUUAUAUAGGUAAACUUGUGUUUGUUGUAUAGAUUAUUUUAUCACCCAGCUAUCACACCUAGUGCUCAUUAAUUAUUUUUCCUGAUCUUCUUCCUCCUCCUACCCUCUGUCAGGCCUCUGAGCAGAAGCUAAGCCAUCAUAACCCCUGUGACCUGCAUGUAUACAUCCAGACGGCCUGGAGCAAUGGAAGAACAACAAAAGAUGACAUUCCAUCAUUUGAUUUGUUCCUGCCCCACCCCAACUAAUCAAUCGACCUUGUGACAUUCCUCCCCUGGACAAUGAGUCCCAUGAUCUCCCCACCCUGCACCUUGUGACCCCUGCCCCUGCCCGCAAGAGAUAACCAACUUUAACUGUAAUUUUCCAUUACCUACCCAAAUCCUAUAAAACUGCCCCACUCCUAUCUCCCUUUGCUGAAUCCUUUCUCCGACUCAGCCCACUUGCACCCAAGUGAAUAAACAGCCUUGUUGCUCACACGAAGCCUGUUGGUGGACUCUCUUCACAUGGAUGUGCGUGACACCCUCUACCCUCCAAUAGGCCCCAAUGUGUGUUAUUCCCCUCUAUGUGUCCAUGUGUUCUUAUUAUUUAGCUCCCACUUACAAGUGAGAGCAUGCAGUAUUUGGUUUUCUGUUUCUGCAUCAGUUUGCUAAGGAUAAUGGCCUCCAGCUCCAUCCAUGUUCCCGAAAUGAUCUUGUUCUUUUUAAUGCCUGUAUAGUAUUCCACAGUGUAUAUGUACAAAAUUUUAUUUAUCCAGUCUACCACUGAUGGACAUUUAGGUUGAUUCCAUGUCUUUGCUAUUGUGAAUAGUGCUGCAAUGAACAUACAUGUACAUGUGUCUGGG
rnacentral:lncRNA from 10 species